UUUAGAUGUGCACAGGAGUUGGUCCCCCGGAGCUGGGAAGCGCCGCAGUAGACUUACCUGCCUCGCGCUCCUGCAGACAGAGCGUCGCGAGUGGCUGGCUGGGCAGAACCCCUUGAAGAAUCCCAUGAAAGCUGUGGAUCUUAAUCCUGGUGAAAAACACACAGCCACCAGAUUCCAGAUGCUAACAUGAUGCCAACCGGACUUCCCUGGACAGACGACCCCACUAAUAUGUCUUGGAGCUCUGAUUCCCCAGAACCCCACCCCACUAGGGAAAGAGAGAGGCAGGCUAGGAGUAUGGAUCGACCUGUCAACACCCAUGUUCAGCAGGGAAGCAAUUUCAGAAGCCAGACCUUCCACCUUCUGCACCCCAUGGUGACCCUGGGUCCAUGGGUCACCACGGGGUUAAAGAACAGGAGAGCUAUCAGGAGAAGGGAUUGGAUACGGAGCUCUGGUAGUGGGAAUUAUACCCCUUCUACCCUAUGGUCUUGUCAGGGUUUCCAUUUUAUAAAUAAAUUAAUUAAAAUAAAAUAAAAGUAAAAAAAAAAAAGAGAGAUCCAAAAGGCCAACAAACACAUGAAAAAAAAUGCUACAAGUCAUUGAUUGUCAGAAAAAUGCAAAUACAGACUAUAAUGAGAUACCACUUUACUCCUGUGAGAAUGUCACACAUCAGAAAAGGUAACAGCAACAAAUGCUAGAGAGGUUGUGGGGACAAAGGAACCCUCCUGCACUGCUGGUGGGAAUGCAAAUUAGUCUAACCCCUGUGGAGAGCAGUCUGGAGAAUUCUCAGAAGGCGAGAAAUGGACCUACCCUAUGACCCUGCAGUUCCUCUCCUGGGGAUAUAUUCUAAGGAAACAAACACACCCAUCCAAACAGAUUUGUGUAUA